CCUUCCCUUCCUCUUCGGCUCUUCUUGUUUCUCUUCGUCCCCCUUCGGCUCUCCUCCUCCUCUUCAGCUCUUUCCCUUCCCCCUCUCUCUUCGGCUCUCCACCGCCCACCUUCGGCCCUUCUCGGCUCUUUCCGUCUCUCUCCACCGCCCACUUCGGCUCUUUCUGUCACUUCCCCCCCACCUCCUCCCGCCCUUCGGCUCUCUUCAUCUCUUCUUCCCUCCCCCCGCCCCCAAUUCAGCUCUUUCCCUCACUUCCCCUACCCCCACCCCCCCUACACUUUGGCUCUUCUCGGCUCUCCGCCUCCUCUUCAUCGCUCUCCGUCACUCUCCCACCGUGCAGGCGCCCUUUGACUCGCUCCCCGCUCCCAUCAGGUACUCGAAGCGCGCCGCGCACGCACCUUGCUCCCGCCCCCCGUUGGACUCUUUCAGGGACCAGUGCAGCCUCCCAGUGAUCCAUGAGGAAGAAGUAAUGGAGCUGCUGAGCCAGUUGGAUCCUCACAAGUGCACUGGACCGGAUGGAAUCUGCGCAGAGAGGAUCUGGUACUGGCGUAGGGAAGGAGACUCUAGAACUGGAAAGUCAGAGAGUAGGUAUGUUUGUUGUGCAAGCUGCACGGGGGAUGUCUCCUCCUAAAUCGUGCCCAGCCCAAAGGAGCAAGCCCCCCCCAUGUCUACACUGAAUCCAUGCCUAUUCCUGAAGCGCCUGUCCACUCUUCUCACUGAAACCCGCCUGCCUCCGCUGCCUCUGGGGAAUAUCUCUUCUAACCUCCAGUGCUGUCCAGAAGCAGACAAAUCAUGUUUAUCAUCUUGGUGCUGUGGAAGAUGAGUCUCUGGCUUGUAGCUCUGGAACUGCUUCUCCCAAGCCCAUUGCAUCUCAAAUACACCUAAAGCUGGGCUGUGUGACAAGUGCUGGUGCUGGUGUGAUGUUUCCUGGGUCCUCUGCUGUGGGAAGGGCAGUGAGGGUGGCAGUGGCAGUUGUACCAAGUUGCCCUUGGAUUUACAGAAUCCAUUUUUGCUUGUGUCUCUCUACCAAACCAUUCAUGAGUUGUCACUCCACUUCUUUGGCUCUCAAACCAGCAGUGUUCAGGCAGUGUGUAGAUGUGGCACUUCAGGGUACAGUGUUAGUGGUCGUGGUAGCUGGGUUAUGGUUGGACUUUUCCAACCUUAAUGCUUCUCUGAUUAGAGAGCUGGUACAGCCUGGUUGGGCUGAAGGUUGUUGUGUGGUACAGAGUGCCUUGGCUUUGAGUAUGACACCCAAAA